UUUGAAAUACAGUCAUGAAAACUUUGAAACUUAAAUGUAUCUACAUUGCUUUGGUUUGGAAAACUGUUGGUCAACCGUAUAGUGGACCUGGCAUACGUAUAAGAGGGCCUCGCGUAUUAAGGCAAUCUUCCAAAAAAUCUAUUUCUGUGUCAACCGGACGAUAUAGAAAAAAAAAACCACGACCUCUUCUGUGUUAGCAAAACGUGAGCCACACGUCAUAGACUUUGUUGACAAUUCUGUUUUAUCUUCUCACAGAAUAAGAUACAAGGAAUAAAUGACUUAGUGGCCUUGUAACAAGACAUUUCAUGAACUAUAUGUAUCACUGUGAAAAUAUGGAUAACUCCCAAAAUUUUGUAACUAAUACUAAUAGUAGAAGACACACUAUUAUAACACAUCAGACAUUAGUGAUUGAAUGUAUUGUGCACAGCGUUUACCCGAUCUAAAUUUCAUUUGAACAGGAUUGUGUUGUAAAUGGCUACGAAGAAAGAAAAUGCAUAUUUCAUAAAAAAAAAAAAAUACUGACUGGAUUUAAGGGCCACCAAUGGGCAUCCACCAGUAUUGCAGCUGUCGAUUGGGGCGGUCUGACCCUUUGAGUUCCUCUGGCUGAACGAGUACGGCUAUGUUGUCUGGCCACAGCACUCUCCGUAUGAUGCCAUGGCGGUACAGGCCGCCGCCUGGGGGUAUGCUGCUCGACAAACAUACGAGGAGCAAGUGCACCACAUAAAACUGCCUACUGGAGAUGUGGCGUUAUUUCGAAUACUGAGCCAGAAACUUGGAGAGUGCGUAUUGAAUAAUAUAAAUUAUGGAGAGACGCAUGCACCACUAUGUUUAUAUUUAGAUGGCAUGUGUUUGCAAAUGAGGGAAAUAAACUGUGGAGUACACUUUCCAACAUUAAAAAAAUCCCUACCGUCGAAUUAGAUACAUACGCCUAAUUAUAGCUUUAGUUUUUAUCAUCAUUUAAACGCUUAAUUGGACCCACUCUUAACGCGUGUACAGCACAUGUUUGUUAGUCUACGCUAAAUAUUAUGAGAUUACGGUCUUUUUUAUACGUUGAAUUUUAUUAAUAGAAUGCAAUGUUUGGCGCAAAUCCAAAUUUAAAAUUAAUUAUAACGAAUAUUUUACACAUAGAGAAUAAAAAUUAAACACUUUGAAAGAUAAGCAAAUGAAUGAAUGUGACACUUGUAUUUAACCAAAUACACUACCGAUGUAUAUUUUUACCAAACGGAAUUAAGUUUUUUUUAAGAACUACUGACCUUAGAAUGUGAUCGCUCUUUGUGUCUGUGGUGCCUGUGGUGCAUCUUUUCAUCUCCACUUCCUGGAGAUUGAUGACGUCUGGGCCGGCGACGUUGAUAAUUGGUCGAACCUGGAGAUCUACGAUGACUACGUUUAUACCGUCUUUCAGCACUUGUUCCCUGAUCAUGCAUCCGCGAACGGUUGCUACGUUCAUUACUGAAAUAGUAAAGUAUGUUAUUUCUUCAAAUUCUAUACCUAGUAGCUAUUUUUAUUAAAUAUAAAAAGAGAACUGUCAACAGUUGUAAUUUAUUCUUAAGAAUUUAAAAUAUACAUUUUAUCCAUAAGUGUAAAAAUUAAUUGUCUUUGAAAUAAACAUAUUAAUAAUGACAUAUCAGUCUACUUGAAUAAUCAAAGCAGUAGUGUUUUCGUAAGUUUUGUUUGUUAAAACUAAGCAGAACAACAUUAUUGAUACAAUAACCACUGUUAUUUUCUAUUGUACAGUUUGUACUUUGGCAAGAUCAAUAAAUAAAGGAAACAGUUUUCAGCCCACUACGCGAGAUAAGCUUCUGGAUGUGUUAUGAGUCAAUUUAGAUAAAACAUUGCCCUAUGAUAAUUAUUUUAAAACGCAACAAUUACUUAGGUAUUCAUAUUUAGGUUAUCAGAGAUAACUGUAAUAGAAGCAUUUUGUUGAAGCCAUUUAAUUAAUGUUUUGUUUAGAGAUUAGAUGAAAAUAAACCCGGAGAAACAAAUUAACAACUGUUAUACAGUAAUUAUAAUAAUAUUAAAAGUAUAUUAUACACAGAUAUUUAUACAGUUACUGUAACUGCAUAUUAAUUGAUUUAAUAAUAAAAAUGUAAACACCGCAUGUUACUAAAAUACCUGCCAGUUUAUAAAUAUACAUAAAUCAUACAUACAAUUUGUACAGCCUUAACUAGUGAAGUAUGUUGUUCAAUUAAAAAUUGAAACAUAAAAUACCACUGGGUACAAAAUACCUGUAUAUUAAAAUAAGCUCGGCAACGGUAGGCAUAGCCUAAUUUAAUAUGAGCAGCAAGAAGAGAUGUUAAUUGGAACAGAAAAUUUAAUAUAUAUACGACAAAAAAUACUUUUUUAAAUGAACUAUUGCACAUAUUUCAGGAAUGUUUUUACUAAAGAAAUUAUAAGAAAAUAGGCACAUCCGUACAGCCUUGUCGACUGAAACAUAGUGAUAGUGUCACACAAGGUUAUGCUGUAGAUAACCCAUUAUUACAUACAACUAUAAUAUGCAAUACACACUACUGUAGUAACACAGUACUAAUAUUCAUACCAAAUAUGGAAACCUACUCGUCACAAAAAUAAUGCACUUGUUUUAAUAAUGAAUAAAACAACAGAACGCAGAAAUGUUAUAACAACAUUCUUUUUUAUUCCCAAUAAAGUAAACAUAAGUAGUCGAUGAUUAAUACACAAUGGUUUACUUUGAUAUCAAAACAUAAGAAGAAUACUUGUCAAGGUCAAUUCUUGAUACAUUGGCGAUAUUAAAAUUUACAGAACAACUUAAAAUUUGUUCCCCUGUAUUUAUUAUAUGUUGUAAAUUUUGUUUAAAAAUUAUAAGACUUUUAUCUAUCAUCUAAAAUAAUAGUAAUGGCUGAUAAAAAGUUUUUAACUAUUGUUAUAAUAUGGAAGUAAUUAUUAUAAUACAAUUUUCAUCUGAAUAUUCAACCCUGUUCCUCUUCCAUUUCAAAUUUGCUAAUAAAGAGUAUUUUUUUUUUAAAGAGGACAUCAUUUAAAUAUUUGUUUUGCUCGGAUGCAGAGCUGAGUAGCAAUUGUUUAUCCGAUGAUGUGUUUUUAUCUUUCUAUUUUUGUGCCUGGACCAAGAUAUCUCCUGAACCUCUAAUUGAGUUUUUUCAGAAAAUUUGUGGAUUAAAAAUCUUACCUAAACAAAAAAUGUACGAGUUCAUUUGCAAGCUUGUGAGAAAUAUUCUUUAGAUAUAGUACUAUCUUUUUAAGAGGUAGAAACUAUUCUUUUAUUUCACUUUUUUAAAGUAGUUUAGACUGAUGGCAGAUCUGUAGUGGGGCUAUAAGAUAAAUAUUUUUCUCUGAAAACUGUAAUCAACCUUUUUUCUUUUUUGAUAAAGGUAAAACCAAAAAAAUUAUUCCAUAUUUUACUAUGUGUGAAUGAAUUGACAGAUAACUGAAAACCAUUCAUUUAAAAAUUAUAGUUAUUGUCACAGCAUCAUUUUCGAUAGUAAGUCACAACGGUAUGUUUAAAAAAUUGAUAAGUAAAAUUAAUAAUAUUCUAAGAACAAUAUCUAUACAUUGAAGGUCCACCGAUAGUGUUUAUAUAAUAGCAGCUCUAUCGGGUAACAAUUUACAAGUAUACAGUACAUACUCAUAGUCAUAACAUAUGAUUAUUAUUAUUACUAUAUAUUAGAUUAUAAUAAACAACACUGGUAUAAUUUCAAAAAGGUACCCUGUACCCCCCACCCUCUUACUGACUGUUUUCCUUUAUACUAAAAUCAUAUUACAGUUAAAAUCUUUUGAAGUAUGCACGUGUAGAUUAAGUUUCAAUACGGAUGGAUCAACUCGAAAAUGUAAUAGGCAAAAUGUCCAUUAAAAUAUUGUUUAGCGAUUAAACCUAACAAGUCAUGUACUAUUGUUCUAUUUUAAUUGUACGUAUCAUACUUUUUUCCGAAAGCCCUCAGAUCUCAUAAUCAGUUCUCACAGGGGUUUUCAAUACUUGAUGGAACUUUUGAACAAUUAAUAAGUACUUUAUAUUUUAUCAGAGAUAAAAUAGCGAUUAAAAAGAAAUUUAUAUAUUAUUUUA